rnacentral:lncRNA from 1 species
UCUUGAUCUAUAGCUCGGACACCUGGGACCAUACUAUUACGAUGAUGAUGGAACGUAUGCGAUGGGACCUAGAGAUCAGCAUAAUGGAAGAAGUUACUCCUGAGAUGAGAGUAUCAUAUCGAUCUAGUAUCUACUUUUUCACGGGGACCUUGAUCUUUCCAUCGAUCCUUAGGCGAAUUCAUUACUUGAGUACUGUACUAUCUUUCUUUAUACUACUAUUCUUUUCUUGAUAUCGCUUUUUCUUUGCAUCUGGGAUCCGCUUGACCACCUUCUAUACGCCUUGUUCUUGGAAAGGCAAAACCAUCAAAGCGUUGAUUAAAGAAAAGUAACUCCCAUCCUAUAAGACCUCGGAUCUCCCCU